UUAAGUUAUUAAGGGCGCACGGUGGAUGCCUUGGCACUAGAAGCCGAUGAAGGACGUUACUAACGACGAUAUGCUUUGGGGAGCUGUAAGUAAGCUUUGAUCCAGAGAUUUCCGAAUGGGGAAACCCAGCAUGAUUGAGUGGAUCCUGAGUACGACGGAGCACGUGAAAUUCCGUCGGAAUCUGGGAGGACCAUCUCCUAAGGCUAAAUACUCUCUAGUGACCGAUAGUGAACCAGUACCGUGAGGGAAAGGUGAAAAGCACCCCGGAAGGGGAGUGAAAUAGAACCUGAAACCGUGUGCUUACAAGUAGUCAGAGCCCGUUAAUGGGUGAUGGCGUGCCUUUUGUAGAAUGAACCGGCGAGUUACGAUUUGAUGCAAGGUUAAGCAGUAAAUGUGGAGCCGUAGCGAAAGCGAGUCUGAAUAGGGCGUUUAGUAUUUGGUCGUAGACCCGAAACCAGGUGAUCUACCCUUGGUCAGGUUGAAGUUCAGGUAACACUGAAUGGAGGACCGAACCGACUUACGUUGAAAAGUGAGCGGAUGAACUGAGGGUAGCGGAGAAAUUCCAAUCGAACCUGGAGAUAGCUGGUUCUCUCCGAAAUAGCUUUAGGGCUAGCCUCAAGUGAUGAUUAUUGGAGGUAGAGCACUGUUUGGACGAGGGGCCCCUCUCGGGUUACCGAAUUCAGACAAACUCCGAAUGCCAAUUAAUUUAACUUGGGAGUCAGAACAUGGGUGAUAAGGUCCGUGUUCGAAAGGGAAACAGCCCAGACCACCAGCUAAGGUCCCAAAAUAUAUGUUAAGUGGAAAAGGAUGUGGCGUUGCCCAGACAACUAGGAUGUUGGCUUAGAAGCAGCCAUCAUUUAAAGAGUGCGUAAUAGCUCACUAGUCGAGUGACACUGCGCCGAAAAUGUACCGGGGCUAAACAUAUUACCGAAGCUGUGGAUUGUCCUUUGGACAAUGGUAGGAGAGCGUUCUAAGGGCGUUGAAGCAUGAUCGUAAGGACAUGUGGAGCGCUUAGAAGUGAGAAUGCCGGUGUGAGUAGCGAAAGACGGGUGAGAAUCCCGUCCACCGAUUGACUAAGGUUUCCAGAGGAAGGCUCGUCCGCUCUGGGUUAGUCGGGUCCUAAGCUGAGGCCGACAGGCGUAGGCGAUGGAUAACAGGUUGAUAUUCCUGUACCACCUAUAAUCGUUUUAAUCGAUGGGGGGACGCAGUAGGAUAGGCGAAGCGUGCGAUUGGAUUGCACGUCUAAGCAGUAAGGCUGAGUAUUAGGCAAAUCCGGUACUCGUUAAGGCUGAGCUGUGAUGGGGAGAAGACAUUGUGUCUUCGAGUCGUUGAUUUCACACUGCCGAGAAAAGCCUCUAGAUAGAAAAUAGGUGCCCGUACCGCAAACCGACACAGGUAGUCAAGAUGAGAAUUCUAAGGUGAGCGAGCGAACUCUCGUUAAGGAACUCGGCAAAAUGACCCCGUAACUUCGGGAGAAGGGGUGCUCUUUAGGGUUAACGCCCAGAAGAGCCGCAGUGAAUAGGCCCAAGCGACUGUUUAUCAAAAACACAGGUCUCUGCUAAACCGUAAGGUGAUGUAUAGGGGCUGACGCCUGCCCGGUGCUGGAAGGUUAAGAGGAGUGGUUAGCUUCUGCGAAGCUACGAAUCGAAGCCCCAGUAAACGGCGGCCGUAACUAUAACGGUCCUAAGGUAGCGAAAUUCCUUGUCGGGUAAGUUCCGACCCGCACGAAAGGCGUAACGAUUUGGGCACUGUCUCAACGAGAGACUCGGUGAAAUCAUAGUACCUGUGAAGAUGCAGGUUACCCGCGACAGGACGGAAAGACCCCGUGGAGCUUUACUGUAGCCUGAUAUUGAAAUUCGGCACAGCUUGUACAGGAUAGGUAGGAGCCUUUGAAACGUGAGCGCUAGCUUACGUGGAGGCGCUGGUGGGAUACUACCCUAGCUGUGUUGGCUUUCUAACCCGCACCACUUAUCGUGGUGGGAGACAGUGUCAGGCGGGCAGUUUGACUGGGGCGGUCGCCUCCUAAAAGGUAACGGAGGCGCUCAAAGGUUCCCUCAGAAUGGUUGGAAAUCAUUCAUAGAGUGUAAAGGCAUAAGGGAGCUUGACUGCGAGACCUACAAGUCGAGCAGGGUCGAAAGACGGACUUAGUGAUCCGGUGGUUCCGCAUGGAAGGGCCAUCGCUCAACGGAUAAAAGCUACCCCGGGGAUAACAGGCUUAUCUCCCCCAAGAGUUCACAUCGACGGGGAGGUUUGGCACCUCGAUGUCGGCUCAUCGCAUCCUGGGGCUGUAGUCGGUCCCAAGGGUUGGGCUGUUCGCCCAUUAAAGCGGUACGCGAGCUGGGUUCAGAACGUCGUGAGACAGUUCGGUCCCUAUCCGUCGUGGGCGUAGGAAAUUUGAGAGGAGCUGUCCUUAGUACGAGAGGACCGGGAUGGACAUACCUCUGGUGUACCAGUUGUCGUGCCAACGGCAUAGCUGGGUAGCUAUGUGUGGACGGGAUAAGUGCUGAAAGCAUCUAAGCAUGAAGCCCCCCUCAAGAUGAGAUUUCCCAACUUCGGUUAUAAGAUCCCUCAAAGAUGAUGAGGUUAAUAGGUUCGAGGUGGAAGCAUGGUGACAUGUGGAGCUGACGAAUACUAAUCGAUCGAAGACUUAAUCAA
rnacentral:rRNA from 1 species